GAUUCUUUUGUUUUGCAGCUUCUGCUAGUUGAAACAACUUGCAGUGAAAGGACCUCUUUAUCCUAUUUCACAUGACAUAAAUUAAGUACAUUGCUUAUAUCUGUUCCUUUGUUCCAUUUUCUGUUGCUCUUCUGUAGUGUUUCGUCGACCCGUCGACUGGAUCCAGAUUCUAUUCGAAGGAUGAAGUACUUCAAUUCAUACAGGUGAAGAAUCCGCUUGACCCCACAAACAAGGAGGAUGAUGCGGCAGCUCAGAAAGUUGGCACUGAUGCAAAGCCCAUAAGAGAAGUGGGAGAGCUUACGGAGAUCACCGAGGGCGAGUUGAAAGGAUUUGUUAAAGAAGUCAAAUACAGAACGAGCAGAGGCAAAUUGAAGAAAGAUACGUUUUAUCAUUGUCGACGAAGUCGAUAUGUAUUAUUUUCCAAAGAGGAUGCUCUGCGCUAUGCCGACUCCGGAAACAUUCAUAAAUGUGUCGUAAAACCAAAAAGGAGUACCAUCGUUGGCGUGCAGAAUGUCGAAGUCAAACCUAG